rnacentral:rRNA from 1 species
AUAUUAAUAAGGGGAGGAAAAGAAACUAACUAGGAUUCCCUCAGUAAUGGCGAAUGAAGUGGGAAUAGCUCAGGUUUAAAAUCUGGUAGCGUCAGCUAUCCGAAUUGUAGUCUUGUGGACGGUCAUCAGGAUGCGCACUGGCAUAAGUCUGUUGGAAUACAGCGCCUCAGAGGGUGAGAGCCCCGUACAUGGUCAGCUGCCGCGUCCCUCCAUGUUGGCUGUUCGUAGAGUCGGGUUGUUUGGGAAUGCAGCUCAAAAUGGGUGGUAUAUUUCAUCUAAAGCUAAAUAUUGGCCAGAGACCGAUAGCGCACAAGUA